rnacentral:rRNA from 1 species
AGUGAACGCUGGCGGUAGGCCUAACACAUGCAAGUCGAACGGCAGCACAGUAAGAGCUUGCUCUUACGGGUGGCGAGUGGCGGACGGGUGAGGAAUACAUCGGAAUCUACUUUUUCGUGGGGGAUAACGUAGGGAAACUUACGCUAAUACCGCAUACGACCUACGGGUGAAAGCAGGGGAUCUUCGGACCUUGCGCGAUUGAAUGAGCCGAUGUCGGAUUAGCUAGUUGGCGGGGUAAAGGCCCACCAAGGCGACGAUCCGUAGCUGGUCUGAGAGGAUGAUCAGCCACACUGGAACUGAGACACGGUCCAGACUCCUACGGGAGGCAGCAGUGGGGAAUAUUGGACAAUGGGCGCAAGCCUGAUCCAGCCAUACCGCGUGGGUGAAGAAGGCCUUCGGGUUGUGAAGCCCUUUUGUUGGGAAAGAAAAGCAGCGGGUUAAUACCCCGCUGUUCUGACGGUACCCAAAGAAUAAGCACCGGCUAACUUCGUG